CCCAGCGGAGUCAAGUGACAAGAGAUAGGGGCUGGAGCCGGCUGGAAUGCGAGGCUCCGAGCCGAGAUUCUCAGGGGCCAGAGAGGGAAAUCCCAGCCAUCCAGGGGCUGGGAUAGCAGCGCCAAAGACUGCCUGCCCACCCAUCGCUGGGCCCCAGAGCCCAUCCCACAUCUCCCGCGUCACUCCGAACCCCAGAAGGCCCCCAAUGUCCUCCAGAACCCCCAAACACCCUCUACCCCUCCGCAUCCAUGCCCUCCCAUAGGGCUUCCCUCCCCUUCAGGCUGAUGGCCUCCUGCUGCCCAGGAAGGAGAGGAGGGAAAACAGCUGAAAAAAUGUGAGAAGAGGCACAUAGGAGAGAGGAACGAGCAGCUUCAGGCUUGCAGACCACCGGCCAUGCAAGGAAGCCAGCAGGACCAGCGAGAGGGACAACGGACCGAUGGGCCCCCACACACUAGCUGCAGCUCCCUUCUUGCAGAGCCAGCUGCCUCUGGGGGAGCAGGCCGGUUGGCAGCUGGGGAGGUCCUUGAAGACCGUGGGAUGUUGUCUUUAAUUCCUCUAACUUCCUUCAACUUGCAAGAGUACUGGUGGCUGAAAUCAUUCUUGUUUCUGUACAAAAAAAUGUGCAGAGAUCCAAAAAUGGCAAAUAAUUUGUUCAAGGCCACGUUGGAAGUCAAGGUCAAUGCUAAGAUAGUGUUUCUCAAACUGAGACUUCUGGACUCCUGAGAACCCAUGAAUACCCUGUGAAAAUUUUUCAAUUCCAUGUUUUCAUUUCCUUGGUAAUUUCUGAAAAGUAUUAUAAGCAUGUUUUUGGAGCGUAUGUAAUUGAUCCUGGCCCUGCAUUUUGUGUUUGUGUUUACCUAUUUAUAGCUUUCAUUGUCUUGGGUGCAUUUGUACCAACUGAAGGCCAGUAGACAAGUACUAACAAAGAUUUCUUGGUAACUUGAAUAGACAUGAGAAGGUGAAGAACUGAGUCACUACCGGGCGCACAGUGGAAUAUCUGUGCCAAGUGUGUAAGAAUCUGCAUGCAGCAGUACAUGUUCAUCUUGCCAGCAGCAACUUCAUUUCAGAAAAGCAACGCUCUUCAUCAUAUUAAAUUAAUGUUAGUUUCAAA